rnacentral:rRNA from 1 species
GACGAACGCUGGCGGCGUGCUUAACACAUGCAAGUCGAACGGAAAGGCCCUGCUUUUGUGGGGUGCUCGAGUGGCGAACAGGUGAGUAACACGUGAGUAACCUGCCCUUGACUUUGGGAUAACUUCAGGAAACUGGGGCUAAUACCGGAUAGGAGCUCCUGCUGCAUGGUGGGGGUUGGAAAGUUUCGGCGGUUGGGGAUGGACUCGCGGCUUAUCAGCUUGUUGGUGGGGUAGUGGCUUACCAAGGCUUUGACGGGUAGCCGGCCUGAGAGGGUGACCGGCCACAUUGGGACUGAGAUACGGCCCAGACUCCUACGGGAGGCAGCAGUGGGGAAUAUUGCACAAUGGGCGGAAGCCUGAUGCAGCAACGCCGCGUGCGGGAUGACGGCCUUCGGGUUGUAAACCGCUUUCGCCUGUGACGAAGCGUGAGUGACGGUAAUGGGUAAAGAAGCACCGGCUAACUACGUGCCAGCAGCCGCGGUGAUACGUAGGGUGCGAGCGUUGUCCGGAUUUAUUGGGCGUAAAGGGCUCGUAGGUGGUUGAUCGCGUCGGAAGUGUAAUCUUGGGGCUUAACCCUGAGCGUGCUUUCGAUACGGGUUGACUUGAGGAAGGUAGGGGAGAAUGGAAUUCCUGGUGGAGCGGUGGAAUGCGCAGAUAUCAGGAGGAACACCAGUGGCGAAGGCGGUUCUCUGGGCCUUUCCUGACGCUGAGGAGCGAAAGCGUGGGGAGCGAACAGGCUUAGAUACCCUGGUAGUCCACGCUGUAAACGGUGGGUACUAGGUGUGGGGUCCAUUCCACGGGUUCCGUGCCGUAGCUAACGCUUUAAGUACCCCGCCUGGGGAGUACGGUCGCAAGGCUAAAACUCAAAGGAAUUGACGGGGCCCCGCACAAGCGGCGGAGCAUGCGGAUUAAUUCGAUGCAACGCGUAGAACCUUACCUGGGUUUGACAUGGAUCGGGAGUGCUCAGAGAUGGGUGUGCCUCUUUUGGGGUCGGUUCACAGGUGGUGCAUGCCUGUCGUCAGCUCGUGUCGUGAGAUGUUGGGUUAAGUCCCGCAACGAGCGCAACCCUUGUUCACUGUUGCCAGCACGUUAUGGUGGGGACUCAGUGGAGACCGCCGGGGUCAACUCGGAGGAAGGUGGGGAUGACGUCAAGUCAUCAUGCCCCUUAUGUCCAGGGCUUCACGCAUGCUACAAUGGCUGGUACAGAGAGUGGCGAGCCUGUGAGGGUGAGCGAAUCUCGGAAAGCCGGUCUCAGUUCGGAUUGGGGUCUGCAACUCGACCUCAUGAAGUCGGAGUCGCUAGUAAUCGCAGAUCAGCAACGCUGCGGUGAAUAAGUUCCCGGGGCU